GAGAACUUUUAAAAGUUUUCUUGCAUGCUGGUUCAUAAGCAUUCACUAAUCUCCUCCAACAAUCUUCUUGUGCUCGGAAAAGAAAUCCAAUGUCAUAUUUGGAAGUUUUAUUUUAAAAAGGGCUGAGGAUGGCUGGAGCCUAUCCCACAAGCUCAGGGUGUAAAGGAGGAACCACCUUGGACAGGAUGCCAUUCUAUCACAAGGCACGCGCGCACACACACACUCACUCAGAUUACGACAAUUUAAACAUGCCAACUCACAUAAUGUGCACAUCUUUGCAAUGUGGGAGGAAACUGGAGUAUCCAGAGAAAACCCACACAGACAAAGGGAAAAUGUGCAAACCUCACAUGGACAGUGGCUUCAGCCUGGAAUACAUUUUUUCUGACAUCGAUGUUAUAAUAAAACAAUAUUGAGUGAACUGAUGUUAUCCAAUGACCUGCUAUAUUCCCAAUAGAGGGCACAUUUCAAUGGACUGACCUUAGGAACUGGUGUGUUCCUGGUGACCUUGGCUGAAGGGCAUUGCCAUCUUGUUACUGAUGUGACACAUAAAAAAGACUACCUGGAUUUUUAUCAAAUGCAAAACCUACUAUAUAUUUCCUAUGACCUAUAAAACACAAGUAUAAUAUGUCAAUGUAUUAAUAGGAUGAUGCAAAUUUG
rnacentral:lncRNA from 10 species